GAUGAACGCUAGCGGCAGGCCUAAUACAUGCAAGCCGUACGGCAACACAGUUGCGAGCAAUCGCAACCGGUGGCGAGUGGCGCACGGGUGAGUAACGCGUAUGUAACCUACCCUUCUCCGGGACAUAACUCCGCGAAAGCGGUGCUAAUAUCCCAUACCAACUCAUCAAGACAUCUUCUUGAGUUGAAAGCAGCAAUGCGGUGAAGGAUGGGCAUGCGUCCCAUUAGCUGGUUGGUGAGGUAAUGGCCCACCAAGGCUACGAUGGGUAGGGGUUCUGAGAGGAAAGCCCCCCACACUGGUACUGAGACACGGACCAGACUCCUACGGGAGGCAGCAGUAAGGAAUAUUGGGCAAUGGUCGAAAGACUGACCCAGCCAUGCCGCGUGCAGGAUGAAGGCCCUAUGGGUUGUAAACUGCUUUUAGCCGGGAAUAAACACCCGUUUUAUAACGGGCCCGAAGGUACCGGCUGAAUAAGCAUCGGCUAACUCCGUGCCAGCA
rnacentral:rRNA from 1 species